rnacentral:rRNA from 1 species
UGGGGAAUAUUGCACAAUGGGCGCAAGCCUGAUGCAGCCAUGCCGCGUGUGUGAAGAAGGCCUUCGGGUUGUAAAGCACUUUCAGCGGGGAGGAAGGCGAUAAGGUUAAUAACCUCAUCAAUUGACGUUACCGACAGAAGAAGCACCGGCUAACUCCGUGCCAGCAGCCGCGGUAAUACGGAGGGUGCAAGCGUUAAUCGGAAUUACUGGGCGUAAAGCGCACGCAGGCGGUUGAUUGAGUCAGAUGUGAAAUCCCCGGGCUUAACCCGGGAAUUGCAUCUGAUACUGGUAAGCUAGAGUCUUGUAGAGGGGGGUAGAAUUCCAUGUGUAGCGGUGAAAUGCGUAGAGAUGUGGAGGAAUACCGGUGGCGAAGGCGGCCCCCUGGACAAAGACUGACGCUCAGGUGCGAAAGCGUGGGGAGCAAACAGG